rnacentral:rRNA from 1 species
AAUAGAUACCCUGGUAGUCCACGCCGUAAACGAUGAGUGCUAAGUGUUAGAGGGUUUCCGCCCUUUAGUGCUGCAGCUAACGCAUUAAGCACUCCGCCUGGGGAGUACGGCCGCAAGGCUGAAACUCAAAGGAAUUGACGGGGGCCCGCACAAGCGGUGGAGCAUGUGGUUUAAUUCGAAGCAACGCGAAGAACCUUACCAGGUCUUGACAUCCUCUGACAACCCUAGAGAUAGGGCUUUCCCCUUCGGGGGACAAAGUGACAGGUGGUGCAUGGUUGUCGUCAGCUCGUGUCGUGAGAUGUUGGGUUAAGUCCCGCACCGAGCGCAACCCUUGAUCUUAGUUGCCAGCAUUCAGUUGGGCACUCUAAGGUGACUGCCGGUGACAAACCGGAGGAAGGUGGGGAUGACGUCAAAUCAUCAUGCCCCUUAUGACCUGGGCUACACACGUGCUACAAUGGAUGGUACAAAGGGCUGCAAACCUGCGAAGGUAAGCGAAUCCCAUAAAGCCAUUCUCAGUUCGGAUUGCAGG